rnacentral:lncRNA from 1 species
UUUUUUUUUUUUUGGUUUUUUUGGGGGGGUGGGGGUGGGGGAAGAUGAAGCUGCCUCAGGUGAAAUCUCAGACAAAAACUUCACAUUGGAAGUAUUUUUAACGUUUUCAGAAAGCAUAUACAACUAGUCCGGGAAUCGAAAAUCUUGUCUGAGGAAAGAAGAAAUGAAUAUCAGAUGUUAUGAACCAUAUGCCCUUUGAAAAGAUUGGAAUAUUUCAAUAAGAGUACUUAAUAAAGAAGCAGAUGCUGAUAAAAGAAUAGGCAGAAAACCAAAUAAAGAUCCACAAAAUGAUAAAAAGUGGAGAAUAAUAAACAACUUAGAUGUAUGGAAAGAUACAAACAUUGUCUCCAGAGAAGCUCUCAGAAAAUGUGACUUGGGGAUCAAUAAAUCUUAUCAAUCAAAUAUGUAUGAGCAGAAUCAGCAUUUCUAGGUUGAUGACGAAGUACAUCAUUUAUUCAGAAUGAACAUCAAGAUAAGUCAACCAGAUAAUUUUACAAAUUAGAACCCGGGGGUACAUUAAUACCAAGAAACAUUGGUUUCUCACUAUACCAUCAAAGAACUUGAAAGGUUGCAGCACAUUUCUGAAACUUUAAGAAAAUGUUGCUGCCACAACAUGCUGCAAGAACCAUGUUCUGCACCUAGAGAUGUAAAACUAUAAGAAAACAAAUUCUAUAUCACUUCCAUAAUAACACCAACCUGUUUGUCCUCUAUGUUAUACUUCUCAAGAAGCCUUUGUUUCUCUUCUUCAGUUAGCAGUUGAUGCUUUGGCUUCAAAACGUGCUUGGUGACAUUGACAAGCAAGUCAGUAAUCUGAGGCAUGGCAAGAUAUUAGCCGCAUGACAUGGAUUAUUAGUCAAAAAUCAUAAUACAUAUUCAAAUCAUUGAGUAAAUGAGGCUUCCACUUUGAUCAACGUCUUGCUUUGUCUGGGACUCUUGGGAGAUGAAAGAAGCACAUUUAAGUGUAUCUUGUAUUGUUUUCAAAUAACCAACUUAGCUUUUUGCAAGAACAUCUGGUCAUAGGAGAGUGUCAGUUCUAGAUAUCAAUAUAAGAAAGCAGUGGCCACUGAAAUAUCUCCCUCUUUAUCAUCUUGGAAAGUCAUUCACACCAAAACAAAGUAACAUUCAACUCUAAGAAGUUUUAAAUACUUUUCCCAAUUAUAGCUAUUAACAAUGCUAGAAUAGAGUAUGCAAGACUCGCACAUAUAAAUAAGCUUACCCAACAAGUUCGAUUUUUGACUAUACCUGGUUGGGUCCGUUCAAAUAGAGUUGUUGGCUUCAGAACAAAGAGACAGGUAGAGGAUGAAAACGAAGAACUGACAACAGCCCUAAUAAUUUAAAAGCCCAAUUAUUUUGGAAAAAAAACAUUCAGGAACAAAUACAAGGGUUGCCGAAUUCUUUGAUGCACUUUCUAAAAUCACAAAAAGGGAGUGACAUAUAUUACUCACUGCUCUAUCAGAGGCUUAGAGUUGAAAAAAUGGUUGCAGACGACAAAGAGAGCAUGGAGGAAACUGGAAUUAUAGGCAAGUACCAAAUAGAGUAGCAAGUAAUAAAGACUGGAAGAUGAUUGCAAUGCAAAGUUGUAGUGGCUAUAGCAUGCUGAUUCAUUGGCACAAGCAACUUUCACGAUAUGAAUGCACGGUCUGUUUCUUUUUCUUUUUCCCUCUCCAAGCCUGUAUAUUCCAAUUUUUAUCCACAAAAUCCAAACUCACCUUACACCAAAUGAAUGACAAAAUCAUGUAUAGUCUUAAAACAGCUUUGAACAUGCUUAGAGCUUCCUUGAGUAAUUAGUACAUUCUAACGUAAAAUGGAAAAGUAUCAUAAAUCACAUGGAAAGCAUAAACCUCCAAGUGCUCUAAAUUUUUUUGCUGGAAAGUUCCUUCAUUUCACAGGUUCCUUGAGGAGAGGGUACGCAAGCAUAUUGACAGCAGCAGCUCAAAGGCCAAGCAUUCCCAAAUACCAAUAUAUUCAAACAUAAAUGGUAAAUGCAAACAGUGAAAAGAAGGCAACCAACCUGGAAAAUCUCAACUUUGAAAGGCAAGAGAUCCACAGCUUUCAUAGCCUGGCUGGUUAUGUGAUUUUGCACAAUUAGUAUCAGCCUACUUAGAGUGUCUUUGUUCAUGAUUUGGUUUGCAAUACCACGAAUUACAUUUACUUUCACCACAUUAGGCCCACAGAAAAGGACUAGAAUCUGCAUUCAAGAAUUCAAAGAUCUCAAUAGGUAUCCCAAUUUGAUGAUGGUACAUAAUUUCUAAAUAUAAAAGAAGCAGACAACAUUCGACCAAAUAAUAAUCUUAACUUCAGCAUCUUAAAUCUAUAAAGAAACCAGAGGCAGUGCUGUUUAAGGGCAUAUUCAAGAAUUUGUCCAAGGCAUGUCAAGAAAAGGGGAGUACACUUCUACUUCUCCCAAUCUUGACCUAUCAUCAAAUGCAGAAUAGCCAAAUCAGAAAGAGAUAGACACACACACAUGGAACCACAUUAUCCCUCCUAUUUCAGUUCCUAAGAGGCUUGAAGAUUGAGCAUAUAAAACGUGAAGAGCUAAAGAAACAACAAGAAGAAGCAAAGGAAUUUCGAAUUUAAAACUAGCAAUCAGAUACAUAUCAAAAACUACUUUGUUUUUUAAACUCACAUAAAGAGCAACUGAAAUGAAUAAAAACAAAAGAAAAUGCAUGAAAAAACAUUCCUUAUAAUUACUUCAAUUUCCACUAACCAUUAACCAAGUCGAGAUUUCUAUCACUCGAACAAAAAAUACCAAGAAAGGGCUAUAAUCAAAAGAAAAGAAAGGUGCAAAGUAACUAGGCGGACAUCGUGUGCAAAGUAACUAGGGGGACUUCGCAAUAUGUCCAUGGUACUAUUUGACUCCUGACAAUCAGCCAUUUCAGACCAUGCCACAUUGACAUAGAUGCCAUUGUCUGCUUCAGUCACAUAUCAAAGCAUCAGGACCACAGAUGUUCUUCUCCAGUUCCAGAUAAAUGCUAAUUCUGAAAAUAGUAAGAAUCAGACCUGAUGUUAAAGAACCAGAAGUAGAAAAACUGAGGUAGGCUUUCCUAUGCUGUAGUUAAAGACAGUUCGAAACAUUUAACAUGUCAUUUUCUGAAUGGAACUUCUGUGGGAUGAGUGAACAAAUUUCUGGAACAGAUAAAACACACAGAACUUGCUUAAAAGUGCUGCACUCAUGAUUCUGCAGUGGCUACUUCCAAUUCUUUUUCUUGAAACAUAUUUCAAGUGUGACUUGGGUACGAGGUCACAAGAAAAAUGUGCUGUCUGAAUCGCAGAGAGCUGUUAAUUGAGCAUUUGCAAUCUUGUAAUGCAUCUUUGUUAUCUUCAGGGCAUUCAUAUCUUAAAUCAGUUACUAAAUCUCCAAUCUCUUCAGUGAUUUCAUUGCAACCUUCAUUUAGCAUUUCCAUUCACCCAUCUUGUCAAUCUCAGAAUUCAUAGAGGAAGAACCAAUGAUCUUUUCUGGAAGAUCAUGAGCUGCAGGCUAUGUUUUAACCUCACAAACAUCAAGUGUAUCAACAGUAGGUCUUCAUGGACUCUAUUGCAGAAACCAAUAAGAAGGAUUCUAGAGGUUUAGCUGGUCUAUCAAACUAAGUCAAGACAUCCCCAGCUAUCUGUUUAACUUCUAUCUUUUUCUGUGAGUGCCAACUCCAGUUUUUCCAACUCUCUUCAGCCUGCAUGCAUAGCUUAAUUGCUAUACCGGUAAAUUCAUCACAGGAUUCCAUUUACUGCAUGUCAUUGUUAUUAUUUUAUGACAGCAGGUUUAGGGCUUAAAUUAAUGAGCUUAGAUUCAAUCGAAUCUCAAAUAAACCCUCAAGAUUCCACCUCAAUUAGGUCCUCAAAUUGGAUGGCUAGAUUCAGGGAUAACACUACCAUAAUUCAUUCAGAUGGAGGAGUAUACGCAAAGUUGAAACUGUACAAAUUGGAAAGAAUCAUAAGACCAAGAUUUCAAAGGAAAUAAUAAUAAUAAUUUAAACAGAUAUAUCCAGCAUUCCAGCAAAUGGAAUAUAUCCAAUAUUUCAGACAUUUGAUGGGCCAAAUUUGAAUUCCAUUAGAAAGACGGUGAAGAAAAUUAUAACUUAUCUUGAAGGCACUAAAAUUUCUAUGACAUGUGUGAACCCUUUUAAUUCCAGUAAAAUUUGAAGAAUAUAGUUCUCAAGCACAACUUUGAUGUUCUCAGAUACAUUAAGAAAUCAAAACCUACAUAACCAUUCUAACCUAAGCAGCAUUGGUGAUUCCUCAAGGCUCAGAGAAUUGCUUUUCCUUUCUUGGCAACUGUCUUAAGAGCAUUUCUCAUGUCCAGCCAACCAUCUCUGUAAAAUAUGAGUCCUUUUCAUCUUCUUAUUAUUUUGGCUGUCAGACCUUUCUCGUUAUGAAAGACAUUUAAUGAGACUUGGUAACAUAGGUUUUACAAAAAAAAAAAAAAAAAAAACUGUUAAACUCUAACAAAGCAAUACUUUGAGUACUUCCUUCAAUUUAAAUUGGUAGUGUAGACAGCAUAGAGCAAAACAAUAUCAUGUACAAAAAUCAUGCCAGUAUGGCUGUUCAUGCAAUUCCGAGGUGACUGAAUCGGUCUACAUCAAUAUCUGACAUUGAAAAACUCAGGCGCAAAUAUCUACGAGCAGGGUAACCUUUUCACAAGGAGCAAUAACAGAUUGGUGAAUGUGAUAAAUGAAGAGCUUUAUUCGCCAUGUUGAUUAGAGCCAGAGAAAAUAACAGGAAAAGAAGCACAGUUGAUAGGACAACAAUGAGGGAAAAAAAAAAAAAAGAAACAAUUUUCAUCUAAAGGUGCUAGACUUUAACAAAAACAAAAACCACGCAAGUCUUGAGUUCUAGAUUUUUGAAAUAUAACAGAUCAAGAACUAAUAACUUGUCACAGACAGACUAGGAAUUCAUUAUUGACAUUUCAUCAUGAAUGUUAGCAACCUAACAAUAGGCAAACGUUUCACAACUUGAAAGAUACCAGAACUCAAAAUCUGACCUUGUUAGAAGGGUCAUCCUUGUGAAGAGCAGAGAUUCUCAGGCGAUCAAUGUCAGGCUGUUGGCCGUAGUUAUUACGGAAGUCUUGAAGAGAGAGUCCAAUCUCCGAAUUGGGUACGAGAAAACCACGGUCCCUAAGCAUUUCCAGCACAGUUCGGCGUGACAAGUAGUACCUAUGAGACUCUAUGCUACCCUCAUCGAUAUAGCUACUCAAACACCUCGGGUAACUCUCCCCAUCUACAUCCAUUUCCAUUUUCCCACCGACAUCCAUAGCUUUUCUCACCGGGUUUUCAGCUAGGCAAGUUGUGCUCUUUUUUUCUUCUUCCUGAAUGCAAGAAAGCAUUAACCAUUAAACUCAGGGCAGUUCGACAAGGGCAAUUAUAAUAGGGAUUUCCACCUUAUCCUUAUUUCAAUUGUCAAUGAACCUCUUCGAAUUAACAGCUAAAUAAAGUAAACAUUUAACCAGAUAAAUAAUUACCAUUAGCAGAAGUCACACUAAACCCUCUUAGAUUUUUAUGCCAUUAGACCGUGUAUCAUCAAGAAUUAGAGUAAUUUUGUCGCAGGCACAAAUACCAUAAACAUAUUCAAGCAGAUUACACUCUCUUCCCAAAACUAAACUAAUGCAUUUCCAUACCAAAAACAGAUUAGAAACUAAACAAUCAACCAAUUAAGGGAUUGUAGCAACUAAUAUCUAACUUUCAAGAAACCAAAACAAAAAAAUGCUUUUAUCUUGCUGGAGAUAAAAUGAUACACAAAAAGGCAACACAUUGGAGAGAAAGAAGCAGAACGAAAGAUGUUGGGAGAAGGAGAAAGUGAGGGAGCUUGCCUGUGCCGGUGAUCUCUUGCAGUAAUGAGAAUUGAGCGUAGGGUUUAAGCCCUUGGCCUUAAAAGUUAAAACCAGAGACCGUGGUCGGAAAAUGGACAAAAGGUUAAAAAAAAAAAAAAAAAAAGAAUUUACCUAGCAUUUUGAGACUGUCACUAGGUACUACCGUACUAGCAUUAUAUACAUUGUGAUUUUGAUUUUUUUUUUUUUACUACUCUUACUAGCAUCGCAAUACUAGUUUGUUUGGAAUGAUUUGGAAAAAAAAUUCAAGUUUUGUUUUGUUUGUAAAAAUAAUACUGUAGUAUUUUUAUUGAUAAGGUGGGUGUGUGAUUAAAAAAAUUGAUUGAAAAGAUAAAAUGAUGAUUAAAAAUAUAUUUAUAAUACAGUAAUAAAAUUUUUUUAAUGAUAUUAACUAUGAAAGUGAAACAACAUGUUAUAACGAUGUGUUUAUAUAAUAAAAGACAUAUAUAAAUAUAAAAAAUAUUUCUAUAAAAUCUAAAAAUUAUCUGUGCCUAAACAUUUAGGAUAAGUGAGAUAAUAUUUCUUUUUUUCUUUUUGCAAAAGGAUGGAAUAAGGUUAAGUAUAGAGCUAGUGAGAUAAUAUUUCUUUUUUUUUUUGGGCAAAAGGAUGGAAUAAGGUUAAGUAUAGAGCUAUCAAUAGGGUUAGAUCAACAACAAUCAACUUGAAAUAAUUAAAAUCAAGCCUUACACUUCAUUAGGUUUGGUUGAGUUUAAACUUCAAAAUGAGCCCCAAUUAAAUUAAAUUGUGAGUUGACUUUAUACUUAAUGAGGCUCGAUUCGAUUAAAUGUCAACCCAACCAAUUAAGUACAUAAGUACUUAUUUUUUUAAUUCACUGUGAUGUAUAUUAUUUAAUAAUUAUACAUUAUAAUGUACAUAAUUUAUAUAAUAUAUAUAUAUUGAUUAAACAAAAUAAAUAUUAUGUAUACGCCAUGUAUAAAAUUAUAGAUUAGUUGUGAGCUUGUAUCGGACCCAAAUUAGGCCUGAAACUCUUGUAUUUUGAUGAACCAUGUAUGAGUUUCACACAACAAACUUGAAGCCCAAGUUCAAAAGCCCGAAAAUUAUAUUUUGGUCUGUGAGUUGAGUUUUAACUUUUCAAAAUCCGACUCAUAAGACUCGAUUGACACCUCUAAUUAGGUACGAUAGAGUUGAUUAUUUAAAAUUGUCUUUGCACCUUAUUUUUUUUAUCCUUUUUAGAAUAUGGCUAUAAUAUAACCUUUUAAAGAACAUUUAACGAAUUUUACCCUCAACUUUUACUUGGCCCCCUCCAAUUAUUUUUCCAGCGCAUACCCCACUUUUCAUUGAGGGACAAAUGUGUACCGAUUCAUUUUGUUAUUAUUAUUAUUUUUACAUACAUGUGCUUGGCUUUUGUUGACACAGAAAAAGUUGAUCACAAAAUAUAAUUUAGGCUUGUUGACAAAAAAAAAAAAAAAUGUCAGCAUAAGUAGCAAAUAAAUAUGAUACUAAUAAAGAUGCCUCCAUUCAAAUCCAACAACAAACAGACUUCAUUUUAAUUAAUUACAAUCAAAAUCUUGCAUAAAAAAAAAAGAGUCUUAUGUCAACAUUGUCCUUUUGUUGCUGAAAUGAUUAAUAAUUUACUAUUAUUGCCAUGUUUCUCCAAAAAAAGAAAUUUUGAAGUUUGAUUUAAUCCCUAUUUUCGUCCUCUAAAUUCAAAAAUAAGCCAUAUCAGCCCUUAUUAACAAUUUUGGUCAAGUAUAGCAUCAUGCAUAACCAUUUUCAAGCCAUAUAACCAAUUCUGAAAUCAGUCACCUUGCAAACAUGUAGAAAUGAACAUUUGAGAAAUUGCCACCAGUUGGGAAUGGGAAUUAUUUUUACUUCUCUGUAACAUAUACAGAAAAACUGGUUCAGGAAUGGUGGAGUGGUAAAGCAUGGAUUCUAAUCCCAUCAACAGAAGUAACCACUACAAUCAAAGGCCAGACAUCUGACCUUCUCCAUAUUGAUGGAGUAUUUAUCUGCAACAAGAAAUAGAAGAACAGACAAUCAAUGAUCAAAAAAAGUGGUAAAAAGAACUUCAUAUUUGACUUCCACACUGUUGCCCUAUAACCUGGACUGGGAUUUCUUGCAUGAUCUUCCUGUUAACUUGGAGCGCCUUGGCGACAAUGUCGCCAUCGAUACAUAGAUUUGAUCCGAAGACAGCAUCUCCAAUGGUUAUGAGACCUUGACUUCAAUGGCAAUUGCAUGAACUUUCCUACAUUAUGUUGGAAAUGAACAAGCGCAAGUGGAAAAACACAUUAAGAUGUGUAGCUCUGUGUUAAAAAAGCAUGUAACUAAUAAAUUUCAAAGACAUUUAGCUGUGGAAAGAGGCCCAAAACAUUGAGCUACAUAAGGCAUUUUGCACACUGCAGAUACCACUGAAUAGAUAUAUACAGAAUACAAGAGACAUUCAUAUUGACAGACGAGAGCAAACACAUAAUUAUGUAACUAAUCCCCUAGUGAUUUCACAAGCAGAUUUACAUUCAAGAUCUGCUCCUUUUGGAGUUGAUAAUCUCGAGCCAUUGCAUUGUUGUGUAGAUAUUUAUUAGUUGGAAAAAAAGUUUCAGGUGAGAUGUCUGACCGGUAAAUUGAGGUCCCUAUUCCUAAAACUCCCAAAGUCUAUCUUUGAAUCACAAACUUCAAGAUGACUCAAGGCAUGCAUAUACAACUAACUAGCUUCAAAGAAAAGGGGCAUCAUAAUAUCAGGUCAGGUCAGGAGGUUGCAGAUAGAAGCCAAGAUAUUCAGAAUUACAAUUUUCAUGGUGUUGAAGGUUAGCGGAAAUUUGCUGUGAAUCAUUUAAUAUUGCUUGAAGAAAGAUUACAGGGGCCAUACCAACCAGAGGCUUUUGAAGAAUGUACUUUUGGCGAUGAAUGAUAUUAUGUAAAUCAAGUUGAAGAUCAGAAUCAGCUCCUUUAAAAUAAGUGAUGUUGUUUCAUUUAAUGUAGAAUGAGACUUAAAGAAAGUUCAGUGGAGAAGCUUUUAGGGACCAAACUCCUAAUACAUAGUUAUAAGAAACUAGUUUUUCAUACCAAGAGAGGGGCUAGGUUUUUCUUACCUCACCAUGAAAGAAGAAUAGGGUAAUAUGAAGUUUCGACAUAUCUAACAAUUGUCAUAGGUUUUUCAGCCAAAGUAUCUGUAAGACACAUAAAAGAGAUAGAGAUUUGUUUAUCAUAACACCAAUGAGUUGCUCCUUUAUGUUGGAAUUCUUAAGAAGCCUAUGUUUGACUCGGUCACUUAAUUAAGCCAGCACUUCAUGGCUUCAAGAAGCAAGUCAAUAAUCUAAAGACGCGUCAAAUAUUAAGACAUUGCAUUGAUAAGUCAAAGAAGCAUGCCAAAUGAUUACAAAUAAUGCACCAAUUGGAUCACUUGAUAUGUUUAGAAACAAGCUAUAGAAAAUUUAAAGCACAGAAAGGUAGAUUAUUAAAUGAGUGGGACCAAAUCAGACAUUUUAUGUGAUAGACACAGUAAAAGUUCUUUUUAUUGAAAAUUCAUUACUUUGAACCAAAUCAAAACCUAAAUGCAGACUGUUAAGAGAAUAUAAGUAUUCUUGUAGAUAAUAAAUUAGUAAGGGUAUUCUUAUAAAUAGUUUGUUAGGUUUAUACUCCUAUAAAUACUAGUUGGUCACUCAUAAUACAGUGACUAGAUGUUUUCUUCCCAAGAUACCUGUUAACAUGGUAUCAGAGCAAAAGUCCUAGGGUUAGGGUUAAAUAUCUAGCAAAAGUUUUGACGCGAUACUGUUCAUCGUACACUGUUCACGCGGUACUGUUCAUCGCGCACUGUUCAUCGCGCACUGUUCACGCGGUACUAUUCACGCGCACUGUUCACGACGCACUGUUCAUCGCGAAUUUUGAUUGCUGUUUUGUUUGAAGUACUAUUCGCUAUGGUUGAAAGUUUUGCUAAUGGGGUUACCACUGAUCAAGUUGAAUCAAGUUCUUCAGCACAUGGGUCCCAGAAAACUGUUACUAUAUCCGAGGAAGAUUAUGUUAAAUUCUUACAGUACCAAAUUACAAAUCACGCAUCUCUUCCCUCUGCUUCUUUAGCACAAAAAGGUAAUGACUCAUGGAUUAUUGAUUCCGGAGCUACUAAUCAUAUGUCAGGUACCUCUAAAAUUUUUUCUAAUUUUCAAGAGUCUACUCCCUUUUCUAAUGUUACUUUAGCUGAUGGAUCUACCACUAAAGUUAAAGGACUAGACACUGUAGAAAUUAAUCCAUCACUUCCGCUGUCUUCUGUUCUUUACGUAUCCAAUUUGUCAUUUAAUCUAAUGUCUGUUAGUAAGCUCACUAAAUUUCUACAGUGUACAGUUACUUUUUCUCUUGAUUCUGUUGUCAUUCAGGAUUUGAAAACAAAGAGAACGAUUGGUGGAGGGCAUGAGCAUAAUGGUCUUUAUUUUCUCAAUUUCAAUGGUCCGAUAGCAUGUCCUGCUACUGUUUCUCCUCUUGAAAUUCACUGUCGUUUAGGUCAUCCGUCUUUACAAAAUUUGAAAAAGUUGGUUCCUACUUUGAAUCAAUUAUCUUCGUUAGAAUGUAAGUCUUGUCAGUUAGGAAAGCAUCAUCGUGUUUCUUUUGCUCCUAGAGUCAAUAAACGGGUUUCUGAACCCUUUUUGUUAGUUCAUUCUGAUGUUUGGGAUUCUAGUCGAGUCACUUCAAAGUUAGGUUUUAAAUAUUUUGUAGUUUUUGUUGAUGAUUUUUUCAGAGUUACAUGGCUUUAUUUAAUGAAAGAUCGUUCAGAAUUAUAUUCUAUUUUUUGUGCAUUUGUUACAGAAAUAAAGAAUCAAUUUGGUGUGCCUGUACGUAUACUUCGCAAUGAUAAUGCGAAAGAGUAUUUUUUCACUCCUUUUAAUACCUUUAUGACUAAGUCUGGUAUUAUUCAUCGGUCCUCUUAUCCUCACACUCCACAACAGAAUGGAGUUGCUGAAAGAAAAAUUGGACAUUUAAUCGAAAUUGCUCGAGCACUGUUGUUGCACAUGAAUGUACCCAAACAAUUUUGGAGUGAUGCAGUUCUAACUGCAUGUUAUUUAAUUAAUCGCAUGCCAUCUAAUAUUCUUGGAGGUCAAUUACCUCACUCCAUUUUUUUUCCUCAUGAACCUGUGUUUAAAUUGCCUCCUCAUAUUUUUGGAUGUGUGUGUUCAUCAGCUUGCUCCCGGGGUGGAUAAAUUAGAUUCUCGUGCUAUUAAGUGUAUUUUCUUAGGUUAUGCACGAGCGCAAAAAGGGUAUAGAUGUUACAAUCCAGUUUUAAAUCGAUUUUUUACUUGUGCUGAUGUUACUUUCUUUGAAUCCACUCCGUAUUUUAUCAAACAAAGUAUGUCUUGUGAAUUAGACCAGUGUCCCUCUUUUUUCUCUCCUGUUUUACCAGUCCCUUCCCCUUUAUUACUUGAGUUGUCUAGUCCACUAGAUUCCAUAGCUCGAUUAUCUCGUCCUCAUUUUCAAGUUUACUCUCGUCGUUCCAUGGUUGAGAAAGUUCCUGAUAUGCCACGCACUUCACCAAUUAACUCUCAAUCUUCAAAUUCAUGUAUGACGCCCUCCUCUGAGUUAGAUCUUCCUAUUGCUUUACGCAAAGGUAAGAGACAUUGUACUUCCCAUCCUAUUUCUAAUUUUAUUUCUUAUUCUCGUCUCUCUAUGUCAUAUUCUUCUUUUGUUGCUUCUCUUGAUUCUAUCUCCAUUCCUAAGUCUAUUACAUAUGCUCUUAAUCAUCCUGAUUGGAGAUUAGCUAUGCAAGAAGAGAUGUCUGCUUUGGAACAAAAUGGUACUUGGGAUCUUGUCCCUCGUCCUUCAGGUAAGCCUGUUGUUGGUUGUAAAUGGGUGUACACUAUAAAAGUGCAGCCUAAUAGUUCUAUUGAUAGAUUGAAGGCUCGGCUGGUAGCUAGAGGAUUUACUCAGGUGUAUGGAGUAGACUACUUAGAAACAUUUUCUCCUGUUGCAAAGAUUACCUCUGUUCGUCUUCUUAUCUCUUUGGUAGCAACUUAUAAUUGGCCAUUGCAUCAGUUAGAUGUGAAAAAUGCAUUUCUGCAUGGAGAUUUGGAAGAAGAGGUAUAUAUGGAACAACCUCCUGGAUUUGUUGUUCAGGGGGAGAAUCCGCGGUUGGUUUGUCGUUUGAAAAAAUCCUUAUAUGGAUUGAAACAGUCUCCGAGGGCUUGGUUUGGCCGGUUUAGUAGUGUUGUCAUGGAGUUCGGUCUGACAAGAUGUGGAGUAGAUCACUCUGUAUUUUAUCGACAUUCUAAUGCUGGUAAAAUUUUAUUAGUUGUUUAUGUGGAUGACAUUGUGAUUACAGGUGAUGAUGUUGUGGGGAUCCAGAAACUUAAAUCCAAUCUGCAGGCAAACUUUCAGACAAAGGAUUUAGGUCAUCUACAGUAUUUUUUGGGUAUUGAGGUAGUUCGGUCUAAAUAUGGAUUUAUUUAUGUCAAAGAAAAUAUGUACUCGAUAUGUUGAGUGAGGUUGGGAUGUUAGGUUGCCGACCUGUGGAUACUCCUAUGAAUUCCAAUGUGAAAUUAGCAGGAGAUCAAAGUGCAUUAUUUGAUGAUCCUAAGCAAUAUUGAAAAUUUGUGGGUAAAUUAAAUUAUCUCACUGUAACGAGACCUGACAUUUCGUUUGCAGUGAGUGUUGUGAGUCAAUUUCUUGAUACCCCUCGUACUAGUCAUUAGGAUGUUGUUAUACAGAUUCUCAGGUAUCUUAAGAGUGCUCCUGAAAAAGGGUUGCUGUAUCAAAAUCAUGGACACACUGAUAUUGAAGGAUGUAGUGAUGCAGAUUGGGCUGGUUCUGCUUCAGAUCGAAGAUCGACUACAGGAUAUUGUGUGUUUGUUGGUAGUAAUUUAGUGUCGUGGAAGAGUAAGAAGCAAACAGUUGUAUCCAGAUCAAGUGCAGAAUCUGAAUACCGCGCUAUGGCUCACACUGUGUGUGAGUUGGUUUGGUUGAAAAGCAUGUUACUGGAACUUGGGUUUGAGCAUAAACAGCCUAUGAAUUUAGUGUGUCAUAAUCAGGCGGCUGUUCAUAUUGCGUCUAAUCCAGUGUUUCAUCAAAGGACAAAACAUAUUGAAGUUGAUUGUCAUUUCAUUCGAGAGAAAUUACUUGACGGGAUCAUCAAGACAUCUCAUGUACCGUCUGUAGAUCAAUUGGCUGAUGUGUUUACCAAGAGUUUAGGGGGCUCUAGGGUGAAAUACAUUUGUAACAAGUUGGGUGCUUAUGAUAUAUAUGCUCCAACUUGAGGGGGAGUGUUAAGAGAAUAUAAGUAUUCUUGUAGAUAAUAAAUUAGUAAGGGUAUUCUUGUAAAUAAUUUGUUAGGUUUGUACUCCUAUAAAUACUAGUUGGUCACUCAUAAUACAGUGACUAGAUGUUUUCCUCCCAAAAUACCUGUUAACACAGACGUUUUACUGCUUAUUUGUUGACUAAUUUAAAAAGUUGCUGAUUUACUAACCAAAAGAGAAUAUGCAAAGAUUUUUCUAAGAGCUAUUUAUCAAUAAAAAUACAGAGUUCUUAAUGAUAAACUGCAACAGAGAUGUGGACAUUUCUCUAAACGACUGUUUAUAACCAAAAAGGCAAGCCUGCCUGACAAGUAAAUUUUUCUGUAGCUAAGAAUAUAGCGAAGCAUUUUCACCUGGAAUGCACUGCAUCUUCAUCACUCAAGCCUCCUCCUUUUACACCUUCCCAAGGCACCAUGAUAUAAUCAUUGUGCUGCCCCAAUAACAGUUGGCCAUUUUUCUCCUCAAAGCCAAGCUACCAGGGUGCCAUCUCGACUCCAAAACAAACUUCUUGCCCCAAAAUCCCCAGCUUAACCAUCAUCCUGCAACUUCCACCUUUUAAAGGUAAACCAGCCAACGCAAACAUAAGAUUCAACAACUCUAGUUGGCCACCCCUGCCUUGCUCCUUGACAAAAUACAGAACAGCACAAGCUCCGCCUAUGCAUAUUGCCAACCACAUCUUCUCCCAAUCUGAGUACACAGCUAAACCCCAUGCAACUGAUAAUGUCUCCUCCAAUGCAAUCUAACAACCAGCACCAUGCCAAUAUCCCAUCCCUAUAUCUUAGCAUAAGCAUGGUAUUGCAACUUAAAUGAAUUUCUUUGUGAAUACAUGGUGUUGCAAUAUGAAUGAGUGUAAAGCAACUGUUAUGUGUGCACUUAUGUUUCUUCUAUUGCUUUAUGACAUUUUACUUGUAAGAUGGGCUGCAUCAGCUUUCAAUAGAAAAGGAUUUAUGUGAGACAAAAAAAAUCCAAGAGGAAGGAAACCCAGGUCUAAGAUGUCCAGAGCAGUUACUAUAACUACGCAAUACCAUACCUAAAGAACCAACGUUGGAAGUUCCAGAUUACCAGCUGUUCAAGCUCGUGCAUGAACAAUAAAUCUAGUGGUGAGACAACCCUAUACUGCCUUGGAGAAGCUGACUGUUGGUUUUGCUUGAUUUUCCCGAGUGUAUAAGACAAUAAAUUCGCUAUCCAGUGGUUACUGAUUAGGGGCAUCUUUGGAAGAAUGAUCAAUUGUUAUCUUAUCUAGGCUAUCUUUUCAGUCUGGAAAAUCAUAAAAAUGACUGAUAACACCAGAUUGAAAAAUGGAGGAAAUGAUUCACUUGAAAGACCAGAGGGUAAUGUGAGCAUGGAACACAGUUGAAGGGGGGACUUUUAGGAAGUUACCCCUUCUGUUUGUAUGCGCUUUUGAUCUGUCAAAUUUCAUGAUAAGGUGGCUAAUGCACCAAUUUUUUUACCAACUUAAAGGUUUUUGGCCUUUUAAUUUGUUUAAUUUACGUCCAGUUCGUAUAUAUAUAUAUAUAUGGCAUCAAUAAAAUGCAUUUUACAAUAUGGUGAGGAACAAUUAGAAAAAAAAAAAAAAAAAAGCUAGAGAAAAAAGGAAAUUUAGAGCAGAUCUCAAACAGAGUAGCCAUGGACAAAGACCGGAGUCUUGCAAAGAAGAGUUGCAGUGGCUACACUCAGUGCAGCCAGAUGAACGUGUUGGUGAGAUUUUGGGUUUCAUAAUGAUGUUAGUGAGGUGUUAUACAAUGCAUAUUCAGCCAUGUUUUUUUUAUAAGAAGUCAUAUAUUCCAAAAGCUUUGGGAGCUAAAAGGGAAAAAUACGAUAAAUCUAACAGACAUGACACUUAAUUGAAGUAAAAUUUACAAAAAUUUCUUGGUUGUACAUGAGCAAUGAGUAAUGAAAAGCAAAGAUGCGUAUAGGAGUAACUUGGAGGCCAAUAUUGACUCAAAACAUUCAUAGAUUGAAAAACGUAAACAGGAAAAGGUAAGAGAACUAACCUGGAAAUCUCAACUUCCAAAGGUAAAAAUUCACAGCUCAUUUCAUUUCAGCCAACUCAAAAGAUUUCAAGUAUCAGGGAUGCAAUCAUACCAAGGACCUUUAGCUUUUACCACAUUAGGGCAAAGGAAAAGGACAACGAUCUGAAUGCAAGCUUUCAAAGAACUAAUUUAAUUUCAUUAUUGAUGACAAAUAAACAAUUUUUCACAUAAUAGCUGAUGUCAGGAGAAGUGAGGAAGAGUAAGCUAAAUAAAAAACAAUCAACGAAGUUUACGAACAUAUUAAAGAAUUUCUAAAAAUUGGAAUGCCUCAUAGAUUAUGAAAAUAUUCAAGAAUUACUAUGCAUGUCAAACAAGGAUUAAGUACCUAAAAAAAGGCAUCAAGAGGCAAAUGAUACAGAAAAAAGACAGGCCAAGAACAAAAUUUGGCAACCAACAUCUGUAAAAAGUGCUUGAAGCAAACCAGCCAACAUAUGUGAGAAGGCCUUCACUAUAAGUUGGUAAGUUUGACACCAUGCAACAGACAACAAAGAAAAAUUUUACUCAUUGUCUACCUAAUCAUGACACAAGGAUGAAGGAAUAAAGAAUGGGGCAGCACCAACAGCAGCCUGCUUUGCUCAUUAAGCUUUUGAUGAAAGCACAGUCACUGGUCAAAUUUUGAGAAAAGGGGAAUAAGAUUCAUGUAAAUGCUGUAUGCCAUGCCCAAGUGUAGGUAUAGCCUAGCUUGUUUAAACUCCUCACAGAACAGAAAAGUUGAAACUUGAGAAGUAAAGCAUAUAUGCAACAGGAUAGAAUGUAGAACAGACAGACAGUAAUGACAACAUUCUGCAUCAGUGGUAAUUGAUUUGCGUUAUGUUCCAUGCACAAUUUGACAUUCAUUGACCCAAAAGGAUAUUAGACUUACAAAUAUGUGAAACCUGUAAAAGAUGUUGAACAAAAGCACGUCUUUGGUAAAGAGAAUAAAGCCAAAAAAGAAAUGCAAGGAGUUUACCUUCUUGCGCAAGGUAUUCAACUCUAUGUGUGUGGAAAAUGAAUCUAACCAUUUACAGGCUCUUAACAAUGGCCAAUUAGAAGAAAAAAUCAAAAUCUUAAACUACACCAUAGUCCAAUUAUUCCUCAAAAGAUUUCCAGGCAAACCUCUGAGAACCGAGAAACUUUGCCUUCAGAAACUCACGCAUUCUUGCUUCUGCCAGUGCUGUCAGCUUGGUAAAUCUUUCAACCAGUAGAUGUUUUAAUAUAUACUCAACAAAUUUAUUACUGCAGAUCAAAAUUGUAAGCAAUCUGUACCAAGAUUUGUGCAUCCCUUGGUGAGAAUGAGGAUGAAAUUUGACCUUUCAAAUUGCAUUGUGGUAUUCUGAUGUUUGUUAUGACUUGGAGGAUAUAGGAGUUAAAGUGACUCAUAUCCUGUGAAAUUCAUUUAACAGCUCAGUCUAAACCAAAUGUCAUUUGAAAUUGCAGCAUGAUACCAAUGCUCAUUUGCUUGCUAAUUUCUCCAACUAAACUCAUUCCGCAUGUCAGAGAACAUUUUCAAGCAACAUUAACCUUCUCAAUAAACCAAAAAAGAGAGAAAAGAGAAGCGAACAAGGUUGUGUCUUUAUUUAAUAAAUAACACAGUUCACAGAGGCAAUGAACAAGAAUACGCAACAGCUAAACAAUAUAGACAGCUAAAAAAGAACAAUUCUAGAACAAAUCCUCCAAUGACAGAUAUACAUACAAUUCAUUAGCAGGACAAUUGUCUAAAUGACCUCAUAACAAACAGGCAACAUCGGCCAUAUGUAGCAUUCAGGGACAGCAGCUGGGGCACCUAACCAACCCGUUCUCAUUACAAUCAAAACACCUUCUCAAUUUUCCUUCCUCCUCUUCAAAGAU